rnacentral:sRNA from 13 species
UAAUAGUGCGGGUAGGAGUUGAUACUUCUACACCGAGUAAAGUUGGAAAGUGAUUGAAAAAUUAAGCGUACUAUUUUGAAGUACGUCACGCCAGCUUGGAAGAGAUGCGUUGGGCAUCUCUUUUUAUGUGCCUU